rnacentral:sRNA from 1 species
UAUCUUCUUCUUUUUUU